rnacentral:misc_RNA from 1 species
AAAAAAAAAAAAAGAAAAAGAAACAAAGAACAACCCAAUUGAGGAAAAACCAAAUGGAAAUCGAAUAAGAAAUAUCCAACUUUCUUGCCAACAUGAAAGCCCAAAUUCCAGGCUCAAGGAAAAUCUAAAGGCAUCUACGGUGGUAGCUUAAAGUAGCUGCUUAGUAGCAUGUGUCAUCAAUUGGACCACACCCACAGCCUGCUCCUGCCAUCAAUGUCCUCAAUGUGUUCACAAAAUAAAAAAUAAUAUGAAAGUGAUACUGCUGUGCUGCCCAUGAAUUGAAAGGCUAAUCUAACAGGAAAUUAGGGAGAAAAAAAGAAUAGAAUGAGACACUUGUCCUGCCCUACGUGGGGCCACCUUUAAGAUGCCGUAACUAGCCAGAGCUAAAAGAAAGGAGGCACGCGACGCAAGCACGUGAGAGAGGACACGUCAUCUUUCAUUAAAG